ACCUGGGUGGCUCAGUUGGUUGAGUGCCUGGCUUCAGCUCAGGUCAUGAUCUCACCGCUCGUGAGUUCAAGCCCCGCGUCAGGUU
rnacentral:tRNA from 1 species